UCACACAUGCACACACCAGACACCACACACAUGGGCACACACAGAGUCACAACUCAAAAAUAAUUGGCUAAAAAAAAUUGACAAAUAAAAAACAAAAUCAAAUUAUAACCCACGCACACAGCCACACACAAACAAAUCUUCGCUACCUUCACAGCCCUAAUCCUUACACUCAUGACUUCACACACACACACAUCGCAAAAGCCAAAAGCAAAGCGGCAGCCAGCAGCCAACGCAGAGAAGAGAACGGAGGAAGCGCAGCCAACGCAUGCAGCCACCUAACCCGCGACUGGAUCUGCUGCUUCGCGACAUCCGUAGCUACCAGAUCUGCUGUUGUUGGAUAUCUAUCGGAUCUACUGCUGCUGGAUCCGCUGCGCUGCUAUCAGAUCUGCUGCUGCAGCCUCCACCGUCACCAAGUUCCACCGUGAACCGGCAACCCAAAUUCUUUUCUUUUUUGAUGUUUUGAUGGUAUAUAAUAAUAUAUUAUAUAUUAUCUGUUAAUUGCC
rnacentral:lncRNA from 1 species